GAGAGUUGAAAGGGUCAAAAACUGAAAUAGCACGUUGGUUGGCGAUGGAUUGGUGAAGUGAACUGAGGAAUGAAAAGUGAAAAUUGCUGAACCAACUUUUUAGCUUUUGGAGUGGUGUGAGAGAGUGUAUCACGCAGCGCAGCACAUGUAAUAAUAACGUGACGCCAUUUUCGCUCUCAACGCGCUCAGUGUGCAUGUGCUCUCUCUCGCUCUCUUCCUAUUAUCUCUCUUCUCUAUGCUCUUUAGCUACAACUAACUGUAUACAUACGCAUUCAGUUGCAGAAAUUUCAGGCGAAGUUGAAGAAGAUCUUAUUCUCAACCCGAUUUCUCGCGGCGCCGAUCCAAUCCACAAAUGAAGUCUAACAAAGCCUUAAACCCUCUCAUCACCUUCGACCACAAGAGGGAUGCGUAUGGGUUUACUGUGCGACCUCAACAUCUGCAAAGAUACCGUGAAUAUGCCAACAUAUACAAGGAGGAAGAAGAGGAGAGGUCGGAUCGAUGGAAGUCAUUUCUAGAUAGGCAGGCAGAAUCUUCUGAAUUGGCCACAGACAAAUUAGUAGUAGGAGAAGGUGAGAAAGUUUUGGGUAAUGAAACAGCAGGGCAGGAAGCCAAUGCUAGUUUGGAGAAUCGUGUCAAUGGAGAUGAAGCUAGCAACCAAACACCUGAUGGUUCCGACAGUACUGUUGAAAAUGGUAGUCAGAAGGAGGAGAUACCACCGUCUGAGGAAACAAGAGUUCACCGAGUCCAAUUAUGGACGGAGAUUAGGCCAUCUCUUCGUACCAUCGAGGAUAUGAUGAGCAUUCGUGUAAAGAAGAAAACAGGGUCAGUAAAAGAUGAAAGAAACAAGAAAGGCGUGUUAAAAUAUGAACAGAUUAUUGAAACUGCUAAAUCACUAUCUCAUUCUGAUGAUGCUAAAUCACCAAAAGGAGCAUGUGAGGAAGACUCUGAUGAGGAGUUCUAUGAUGUUGAGAGGUCGGAUCCUAGUCCAGAUAUGCCUCUUGUUGAUGGAACAAGCGCCUCUGCUAAUGGUAUUGCUGCUGAUGCUGCACUACCAGAGGCUUCAUUUCCUUGGAAAGAAGAGUUGGAAGUUCUUGUCCGUGGGGGAGUACCAAUGGCAUUGAGGGGAGAGCUUUGGCAAGCUUUUGUGGGUGUAAAAGCAAGGCGGGUGGAGAAGUAUUAUCAGGAUCUGCUUGCCUCGGAGAAUGAUUCUGAAAUUAAAACGGAUCAGCAAAGCAUGCAGUCAACUGACAGUAAUGGUAAAACAAGUGCAGAUUUUGUACGUAUGCCAGAAAAAUGGAAAGGACAGAUUGAGAAGGAUCUGCCUCGAACAUUUCCUGGUCAUCCUGCUUUGGACGAGGAUGGCAGAAAUGCCUUGAGGCGAUUACUUACUGCAUAUGCUCGGCAUAAUCCCUCAGUUGGUUACUGCCAGGCCAUGAAUUUUUUUGCUGGCUUAUUGCUCCUUUUGAUGCCAGAAGAAAAUGCCUUUUGGACAUUAAUGGGCAUUUUAGAUGAUUAUUUUGAUGGCUAUUAUUCAGAGGAAAUGAUAGAGUCUCAGGUGGAUCAAUUUGUUUUUGAGGAGUUGGUGAGGGAGAGGUUUCCCAAAUUGGCCAAUCAUCUAGAUUAUCUGGGAGUGCAAGUAGCAUGGGUUACCGGACCAUGGUUCCUUUCCAUUUUUGUCAACAUGCUUCCUUGGGAAAGUGUUCUUCGAGUGUGGGAUGUGCUUCUUUUUGAAGGAAACCGAGUCAUGCUUUUUAGAACUGCAGUUGCUUUGAUGGAGCUAUAUGGUCCAGCAUUGGUAACAACAAAAGAUGCUGGAGACGCAGUUACUUUACUUCAGUCAUUGGCUGGCUCUACAUUUGAUAGCAGCCAGCUUGUCUUGACAGCUUGCAUGGGUUACCAAAAUAUAAAUGAAACUCGGUUGCAGGAGCUGAGGAAUAAACAUCGGCCAGCUGUAAUAGCUGCCAUUGAAGAAAGAUCAAAAGGGCUUAAAGCUUGGCGGGAUUCUCAGGGUCUGGCAUCAAAGCUAUUUAAUUUCAAACAUGAUCCUAAAACUGACCAAUCAGGUGAUAUGCAAGUACUUGGCAGUUUAUCUCGCACAGAAUCUGGGUCCACUAAUGCAGAUGAAAUUCUUAUUAGUCUGACUGGAGAGGGUGAGAUAGAUUCUGUUCCAGAUCUUCAAGAUCAGGUUGUAUGGCUGAAGGUUGAACUUUGUAAAUUACUAGAGGAGAAAAGAUCAUCUAUUCUCAGGGCAGAGGAGCUUGAAACAGCAUUAAUGGAAAUGGUCAAGCUGGAUAAUAGGCGGCAAUUGAGUGCCAAAGUAGAGGAACUAGAUGAAGAGGUUGCUCAGCUUCGGCAGGCACUUGCUGAUAAACAAGAACAAGAAACUGCCAUGCUUCAGGUCUUGAUGCGGGUGGAGCAAGAGCAGAAGGUGACCGAGGAUGCUCGCAGGUUUGCUGAACAAGAUGCAGCAGCCCAAAGAUAUGCUGCCCAAGUCCUUCAGGAAAAGUAUGAAGAAGCAACUGCUGCACUUGCUGAAAUGGAGAAGAGAGCAGUUAUGGCAGAAUCUAUGCUGGAGGCUACAUUGCAAUAUCAGUCUGGCCAAGUUAAAGUGCAACAAUCUCCACGGGUCUAAUACCCAAGUAUUAAUAAUAAGAUCUUAUAUUGUUUAUGGGAAGAACCCUCUGCGAAUGAACUUGAUCUUUUGCCUUGCUUAGAUCUUCACAGCCAGAAUCUCCAGUAUCAAGAAACAAUCAAGAGCCUACGACGGAUCUCCCUUCCAGGAGAGUAAGUUUGCUUUCACGUCCAUUUGGACUUGGAUGGCGUGAUCGAAACAAGGGGAAACCCACUAAUGUGGAAGAGGCAGCUGAGGGAAAGCCCAUCGUUGAGGAACAAAGUACAGUCAUUCAACAAGAGGGCAAUGGCAAAGUACAGGAUGAGUAGGAAAAAAGAUAGUGCCUAGAUUUUCUGUAUGUUCUCAAGACAGUUUGACGAGCAAGAAGUUUAGUUCCUUCUUCCUUGUCUGUAAUUUUUGUUUAGGGUGAACAUAUAAUUUCAUAUUCAUUAAUUGUUUGUUCUUUAUCAUGUAAUAGAAUAAUAGUAAUUGGAAAGUAAGAGUAUGGUCGAGGUCAACUGUAAUACAUCUGGUUUAUUCUAUACUAGAAACUUUCUUGU